UCGAAGCCUAGAAAGCACGACCGCGAAUGAGUUAACAAUUGUGGAAGCGUUGUGAAGGCUUUGGCUUUUUCAGCGCGACCUCGCUCGGGUUGCGAGGAGCGCUUUUGCUUCUCGUCUCUCGAAUCUAACGAACCCCGGCGCGAACAGCGCCAAGGAAUCAAAACGAAAAGAACUUGACCCUCCAACCCGUCAUCGGGGUGUGAGGGCCUUGUCUGUUCAGAAAUUAUCAUAACGACUCUCGGCAACGGAUAUCUCGGCUCUCGCAUCGAUGAAGAACGUAGCAAAAUGCGAUACUUGGUGUGAAUUGCAGAAUCCCGUGAAUCAUCGAGUCUUUGAACGCAAGUUGCGCCCGAAGCCUUUAGGCCGAGGGCACGUCUGCCUGGGCGUCAUGCACUGCGAUGCCCCCAUCAAGCAUGUGGGGCGAAUCUUGGCCUCCCGUUAGCCCAACUAGCGGAUGGCUUAAAAAAGAGCCUCGAGACGGAAAAUCGUCGCGACAAGUGGUGGUUGAAGAGGCCCUAGGCCUUAGAACUUAGCGCGUUGCGACCUUUUCCCUCUUUUAUGCUCGAUAAAGACCUUAAGUGUUGCGUGUUUAUCACGCAUCGCCAGCAUC
rnacentral:misc_RNA from 1 species